GAAUUCGCCCUUAGAGUUUGAUCCUGGCUCAGGACGAACGCUGGCGGCGUGCCUAACACAUGCAAGUCGAACGGACGAGGAGGAGCUUGCUUCUCCAAGUCAGUGGCGGACGGGUGAGUAACGCGUGAGUAACCUGCCCUUCAGAGGGGGAUAACGUCUGGAAACGGACGCUAAUACCGCAUGACAUAUUUCCAUCGCAUGGUGGAGAUAUCAAAGGAGCAAUCCGCUGAAGGAUGGACUCGCGUCCGAUUAGAUAGUUGGCGGGGUAACGGCCCACCAAGUCGACGAUCGGUAGCCGGACUGAGAGGUUGAACGGCCACAUUGGGACUGAGACACGGCCCAGACUCCUACGGGAGGCAGCAGUGGGGGAUAUUGCACAAUGGGCGAAAGCCUGAUGCAGCAACGCCGCGUGAGGGAAGACGGUUUUCGGAUUGUAAACCUCUGUUCUAAGUGACGAACAAAUGACGGUAGCUUAGGAGAAAGCCCCGGCUAACUACGUGCCAGCAGCCGCGGUAAUACGUAGGGGGCAAGCGUUGUCCGGAAUUACUGGGUGUAAAGGGAGCGCAGGCGGAGAAGCAAGUCAGUGGUGAAAACGAUGGGCUUAACUCAUCGACUGCCAUUGAAACUGUUUCCCUUGAGUGAAGUAGAGGCAGGCGGAAUUCCGAGUGUAGCGGUGAAAUGCGUAGAUAUUCGGAGGAACACCAGUGGCGAAGGCGGCCUGCUGGGCUUUAACUGACGCUGAGGCUCGAAAGUGUGGGGAGCAAACAGGAUUAGAUACCCUGGUAGUCCACACUGUAAACGA
rnacentral:rRNA from 1 species